CGCGAAGAACCUUACCUGGUCUUGACAUCCACAGAACUUUCCAGAGAUGGAUUGGUGCUUUCGGGAACUGUGAGACAGGUGCUGCAUGGCUGUCGUCAGCUCGUGUUGUGAAAUGUUGGGUUAAGUCCCGCAACGAGCGCAACCCUUAUCCUUUGUUGCCAGCGGUCCGGCCGGGAACUCAAAGGAGACUGCCAGUGAUAAACUGGAGGAAGGUGGGGAUGACGUCAAGUCAUCAUGGCCCUUACGACCAGGGCUACACACGUGCUACAAUGGCGCAUACAAAGAGAAGCGACCUCGCGAGAGCAAGCGGACCUCAUAAAGUGCGUCGUAGUCCGGAUUGGAGUCUGCAACUCGACUCCAUGAAGUCGGAAUCGCUAGUAAUCGUGGAUCAGAAUGCCACGGUGAAUACGUUCCCGGGUCUUGUACACACC
rnacentral:rRNA from 1 species